UUUGUACCUGAAUGCUUUUCUGUGUCAUUGGUCCUAUUGCAAUGACUCUCAGUACUUGGGUCAAAAUGAAAGAGCCCUCUGAUGAAAACAAAAUGCUUUUGCAACUGGGAUGAAUCUCAUCACUUAUUGGCUGCACGCACAUUGAAAUAGUGCACAGGUAUUGCAGAAGCUAACCAGUGCCUGCUAUAAAUUCAAGUGGCUAAAAACCUGACAGCUCCCAUUGGAGUCUGUCUGCUUCCGUUGCUGUUUGUUUCCUGGAUGUGGUUUGGAGCUCUGGAUGGCAGGAAGUCGUGGUGUGUGCCGAGCUGGGGAGUAACGGCUCCAAGAGCCUGAGCACAUCUGAACAGAGGGAAGAACGGAGCAAGCAGCUCACCCAGCAGGGCUGGGAGCACGGAGGGACUCACCUUGUGUGGAAUAAUUUCAGUGUUGUGAGAAGGGGAAAUCCGCAUGCCUAAAAACCUACAGAUAGCUAUAUUGGUUAUCUGUUGUUAAUGCUUGAAUUUACUUGCUUAUGUCUACUAAAAAAAUUGCUUUUUCAAAAUGCAGUUGUAGCAAAAGCAUUUGAUCCUUGUUGUUCCA